ensembl:snRNA U6 U6 spliceosomal RNA
GUGAUCGCUUUGGCAGCACAUAUACUAAAUUGGAAUGAUACAGAGAAGAUUAGCAUGGCUCCUGCACAAGGAUGAUAUGCAAAUUCAUGAAACGUUGACUAUUAGA